AGCUUGUAAAAAGAAAAUAUGUACUCCAGUUUCAAACUAUAAAUUAUCAUGCUCAAUUACUUGUGCUCCUCUCCACUCUUCACCAGGAUUCACAACAAGAGGAACCAACAUUGAAGCAGGGCCCGUGCAGAUAAAGUAUUCCUUCCCAUACUUGUCCGAAAAUGAACCCGGACUUGAUAGGUAAAUAUCUUCAAACCCCAUACGUAUUAUCCUGAAGAAGAGCUCACGGCCCUGGGAAAAAACAAAAAUGUUAUAAAGCGCGCCAUUAAUAGUAGAAACAGCAAGCAUGAUAAUCCACUAGUCUUUUGUUUUGAAUGUGAUAUACCUGAUCAAUUGUUUCAUAUUUUGAAGGUAUUGAAUUAUAAAAUUCCUUUGCUCUUUCUUCUGGUGGAACACUGUAAAGUCUACUGAGCUUGUGCUUCAAUACAGUGAUGGGAACAUCUUGAGCAGACCAUAUUCCCGGCUUCAAUUCUGGCUCCCAACCAAACGAGAAUAAACCAGGCUCCUCAGUUUUCAUAGCUUCCCCUGGAGAUAAAAUUUCAAAGGGAGAAGACAAAGGAGGAUGUGCGCAAUAAGUGCAGCUGCGGAGUCCUUGUAUUCCUGUACCCCCUCUUGUCUUAGACUUCAAAUGGCUUAGUAUAGCACUCGUUAACUUGACAGGUUUGCGGCCAUUGUUCUUCACUAUAACUGCUGUUGCCAUGCUCAGUGGAUAGAGUGACACCACAUAGUUAAUAUCGAGACUCCCUCUGCUGCAGCUCAAUUCAAC
rnacentral:lncRNA from 1 species